rnacentral:rRNA from 1 species
CGGACGGGGGAGUAAUGUCUGGGAAACUGCCCGAUGGAGGGGGAUAACUACUGGAAACGGUAGCUAAUACCGCAUAACGUCGCAAGACCAAGAGGGGACCUUCGGGCCUCUUGCCAUCGGAUGUGCCCAGAUGGGAUUAGCUAGUAGGUGGGGUAACGGCUCACCUAGGCGACGAUCCCUAGCUGGUCUGAGAGGAUGACCAGCCACACUGGAACUGAGACACGGUCCAG